CCGCCUAGAACCGCCUAGUCCCCGCCUAGCACCGCCUAGUCCCCGCCUAGCACCGCCUAGCACCACCGCCUAGCCCGCCUAGGCGGCCGCCUAGGCGCCCAGCGCCUAAGGGAAACGCCUAGGCCUAAAUCGGAGCGGUUCCUUGCCGCCUAGCGCCUAGGCGCCGCCUAGGCGGCCGCCUAGGCCGAUUUUUAGAACAUUGAGCAGCGGGUAUGUCGAACGAGGCCCCUAACAAAAGUGACGCCCUGUAUGCUGACGUCGAUCCAGAUACCAUUAUUCAGGGAUUUUUGCGAGAAUCGCAGACAGCGAGGCGAGUGGAUGUUGACCUGUCGAAUAAAGUGCGUGUGACUGAUCAUCGGGUUAGCAUGUCGCUGCCCG
rnacentral:lncRNA from 1 species